UACGAAGGGGGCUAGCGUUGCUCGGAAUUACUGGGCGUAAAGCGCACGUAGGCGGCUUUCUAAGUCGGAGGUGAAAUCCUGGAGCUCAACUCCAGAACUGCCUUCGAUACUGAGAGCUCGAGUCCGGGAGAGGUGAGUGGAACUGCGAGUGUAGAGGUGAAAUUCGUAGAUAUUCGCAAGAACACCAGUGGCGAAGGCGGCUCACUGGCCCGGUACUGACGCUGAGGUGCGAAAGCGUGGGGAGCAAACAGG
rnacentral:rRNA from 1 species